rnacentral:misc_RNA from 1 species
UCUAAGGAAUAAUGGAAGAGAGAAUAGAAUCCUUUGGUAUUUAGUUUUGAGUGUUUAACUUUAUGUUAAAUGCUUUGACGGAAAGAUUUCCGUUUUUUUUGAACCUUGAAAACUGAAUAACAAGUACAACAAAAAGAGCAAAAAUAAACGAGAGUUUAUGAAAAGACACGAAAAGAGUAAAAGAACUCAUAUAUAUAUCGAAGGUCAAGCUAAUAAGAGCAAAGGGAGAAUGCCUUGGCAUCAAGAACCGAAGAAGGACGCAGAAAGCAGCGAAAAGCCGCGGGGAGACGCACACAGUCAGCGAUCCGCGGGUAUC